rnacentral:rRNA from 1 species
AUUGAACGCUGGCGGCAUGCCUUACACAAGCAAGUCGAACGGCAGCGGGGGAGAAGCUUGCUUUUCCUGCCGGCGAGUGGCGAACGGGUGAGUAAUACAUCGGAACGUGCCCUGUAGUGGGGGAUAACUAGUCGGAAGACUAGCUAAUACCGCAUACGACCUGAGGGUGAAAGUGGGGGACCGCAAGGCCUCAUGCUAUAGGAGCGGCCGAUGUCUGAUUAGCUAGUUGGUGGGGUAAAGGCCUACCAAGGCGACGAUCAGUAGCUGGUCUGAGAGGACGAUCAGCACACUGGGACUGAGACACGGCCCAGACUCCUACGGGAGGCAGCAGUGGGGAAUUUUGGACAAUGGGCGAAAGCCUGAUCCAGCAAUGCCGCGUGUGUGAAGAAGGCCUUCGGGUUGUAAAGCACUUUUGUCCGGAAAGAAAUGGCUCUGGUUAAUACCUGGGGUCGAUGACGGUACCGGAAGAAUAAGGACCGGCUAACUACGUGCCAGCCGCCGCAGUAA